UAACCCUGGUUGAUCCUGCCAGUGGUCGUAUGCUUCGUUCAAGGGCUAAGCCAUGCAAGUCUCAGAGCAAUCGGAUUGAACAGAGGGUCUGUGAAUGGCUCCUUACAUCAGCAGUCAUCCUCGUGAUAGUGUGUGGCUGGCACCGCUUCUGCCAAUGGUGCCCAUCGGGACAUCCUCCAAAACCUUGUGGCUAAUACCCGUCCGCAGCAGUCAACCCCAGCACAGGUGGCCGGCCCCUCCGUGGGCUCUGGCCAUCCUGGUGGUGGAUCAUGCCCAGCAGAGAUGAAGACCAGCGCCCGUUCCUCCAGGGCAGUGUGUUGUGGUUGACUCAGGCUGGACUCCCGUUGUGGGGAACGGCCAUUCUGGCAGAGUGGUGGCCUCGUGCCACGUCGCUUGAUCACAGGAACUUCUGACCUAUCAGCUUGGACUGUGAGGCAGUGGCUCACAGUGGCAGUAACGGGUAACGGAGAAUCAGGGUUCGGUUCCGGAGAGGGAGCCUGAGAGAUGGCUACCACUACCAAGGUGGGCAGCAGGCACGCAAAUUGCCCAAUACCAGCUCCUGUGGGUGAGGCAGCGACGAACCGCAGCAAUCCUGCUGGCCUUCUGUGCCAGUGGGCUUUGGAAUGGAUGCAACCCAAACACAGCCAUGAGUAUCGACUGGAGGGCAAGUCUGGUGCCAGCAGCCGCGGUAAUUCCAGCUCCAAGAGCGUACACUAUCAUUGCUUCUGUUAAAACACCUGUAGUCUGCCACUGGGUCCAGGUCUGCUGGGUGGCUGGCACCGGAGGGCUGUGUGCCCGACGGUGCUGGGUCAAACCCCCGGCGGUGUGUCCUGGACCCGCAAUCCUCGUGGAAUUCUGGUGAGACGCUCCUGCUUCAAGCCACCUUCACUGGUGGUCCAGGCGGCAACGCCCGACACGCAGGCCUGGGCCGUGCCAAAUCCCCAUGGGCUGUGUGCCCUGGACCCCGGCUUGCCGGGGGCACGGUCCGCCACAGGAGCCCGCCGGACCCUGAUACCGUGGAAAACUCAGUGUGCCUCAAGCGUCCUGUCCGUCACUGGCUGGAUGCUCAUCCAUGGAAUGUCGCAGCAUCGACCUAGUAUUGGCUCAGAGUUUGUGCUGGCCUUGUGGCCUACCCCGGGCAAUGUGGUGCAUGGUUCUGGACCCGAGUGGGGCUGUGUCGUGCUGGUUCGCCACACGGUCACUCCCCGCCAGGGCCCCUGCAAGUCGUGUGCUGACCGGAGAUGAUGGAACCAACCAGGGUGAAUGAUAUGGGCUCGCCAGAGGUGAAAUUCUUAGACCGCUCCCAGAUCCACUGGAGCGAUGGCGAUCUGCAGGCCUGUGUUCGUCGAUCAAGGAUGAGAGUCUGGGGAACGAAGAUGAUCAGACACCGUCGUAGUCCAGCACCGUAAACAGUGCCAGCGAGGCCUCAGCAGGGAACGUCCCAAGACCCUGCUGGUGCCACUCCCCUACCAACGAGAAAUCCACAGCCUGUGGGUUCAGGGGGGAGUACGGUCGCAAGGCUGAAACUUAAAGGAAUUGACGGAAUGGCACCACAAGGCGUGGAGUAUGCGGCUUAAUUUGACUCAACACGGGGAAUGUUACCAGGUCAGGACACAGCCAGGAUGGACAGACUGAGAGCUCUCUCUAGAUCCUGUGGUCGGUGGUGCAUGGCCGCUCCUGAUUGGUGGAGUGAUUUGUCUGGUUGAUUCCGAUAACGAGUGAGAUCUCUGCCUCCCAGUAGCCCCUGGCUCGCAUCUGGUAGGGCCGGCCCUGGGAUCCAGGCCCGGUGUGGGGGUGUCCCAGCUCCGGCUGGGCCCCCCAUCAUCGGGUCCCCAGGCCGCCUGAGAGCCAUGGGUUCCAGCUUCUCUGAGGUGCUGUGUCCGCCUCCCAAGGGCAUGCAUGCUAGAGCCAACAGCAGGUCUGUGAUGCCCCCAGAUGUUCUGGGCCGCACGCGCACUACAUUGGAAUGGUGAAGGGGUGAGCAGCUCAGCUCCGGCUGAGACCUGGCCAGCGAUGGCCGGGAAAUCCUGGGAGCCGAUGGCCGUACUGGGGAUAGACGAUUGCAACUGUGUGCCUUGAACGUGGAAUGCCUAGUAAGCGCCGGUCAUCAGCCGGCACUGAUUGUGUCCCUGCCAUUUGUACACACCGCCCGUCGUUGCUACCGAUGGCUACUGGAUAGAGACAUCAGGAGGUCUGGCUGGGCCUCCCUGUGGGGUCCAGCCCAGCUGAAAUUGGCCAAUGUUCUGUGGCUAGAGAAGCAAAAGUCGUAACAAGGUUGCUGUAGGUGAACCUGCAGAAGGAUCAAA
rnacentral:rRNA from 1 species